UAAAUAAUGACAGUUUGUAAUCUUCAAACGCAAAGACUGGUAUGGCAUACUUGAUACCUUAAUACUGUUUAAGAAAUCUGAACUAACAGGAUUGUUUAAUGAAUCUGAAUUUGAAGGAUCUAUACUAUUAGCCGAAAGAUAGAUUCUUUCUUGACUUGUAACAAAUAAAAUAACAAUCAACUCUUCACAAAAAGUCAGAAGAAUGGAGAACAUAAAUUAAAAGAUUAAAU
rnacentral:sRNA from 1 species